CCUACGGGAGGCAGCAGUGAGGAAUAUUGGUCAAUGGACGAGAGUCUGAACCAGCCAAGUAGCGUGAAGGAUGACUGCCCUAUGGGUUGUAAACUUCUUUUAUAUGGGAAUAAAAUGUUCCACGUGUGGGAUUUUGUAUGUACCAUAUGAAUAAGGAUCGGCUAACUCCGUGCCAGCAGCCGCGGUAAUACGGAGGAUCCGAGCGUUAUCCGGAUUUAUUGGGUUUAAAGGGGGCGUAGGUGGAUUGUUAAGUCAGUUGUGAAAGUUUGCGGCUCAAGCGUAAAAUUGCAGUUGAAACUGGCAGUCUUGAGUACAGUAGAGGUGGGCGGAAUUCGUGGUGUAGCGGUGAAAUGCUUAGAUAUCACGAAGAACUCCGAUUGCGAAGGCAGUUCACUGGACUGCAACUGACACUGAGGCUCGAAAGUGUGGGUAUCAAACAGGAUUAGAUACCCGAGUAGUC
rnacentral:rRNA from 1 species